ACGGGGGGAGCAAGCGUUGUUCGGAAUCACUGGGCGUAAAGGGCGUGUAGGCGGUCAGGUAAGUGUGAUGUGAAAUCCCUCGGCUCACCCGAGGACCGGCAUCGCAUACUGCUUGGCUUGAGUACGGGAGAGGAUGUGGGAAUUCCUGGUGUAGCGGUGAAAUGCGUAGAUAUCAGGAGGAACACCGGUGGCGAAGGCGCACAUCUGGCCCGAUACUGACGCUGAGGCGCGAAAGCUAGGGGAGCAAACGGGA
rnacentral:rRNA from 1 species